rnacentral:rRNA from 1 species
UACGGGGGGUGCAAGCGUUGUUCGGAAUUACUGGGCGUAAAGCGUGCGUAGGCGGCCAACUAAGUCAGACGUGAAAUCCCCAGGCUUAACCUGGGAACUGCGUCUGAUACUGGAUGGCUUGAAUCCGGGAGAGGGAUGCAGAAUUCCAGGUGUAGCGGUGAAAUGCGUAGAUAUCUGGAGGAAUACCGGUGGCGAAGGCGGCAUCCUGGACCGGCAUUGACGCUGAGGAGCGAAAGCUAGGGGAGCAAACGGG